UACAGAGGUGGCAAGCGUUGUUCGGAAUUACUGGGCGUAAAGGGCGCGUAGGUGGCCUUCUUAGUCAGACGUGAAAUCCCCGGGCUUAACUCGGGAACUGCGUCUGAUACUGGAAGGCUGGAGUUCGGGAGAGGAAUGUGGAAUUCCAGGUGUAGCGGUGAAAUGCGUAGAUAUCUGGAGGAACACCGGUGGCGAAGGCGGCAUUCUGGACCGAAACUGACGCUGAGACACGAAAGCGUGGGGAGCAAACAGG
rnacentral:rRNA from 1 species